rnacentral:rRNA from 1 species
UACGUAGGGGGCAAGCGUUGUCCGGAUUUACUGGGCGUAAAGGGCGUGCAGGCGGUUUGUUAAGUGCAGGGUGAAAGCUCCCGGCUCAACUGGGAGAGGUCCUUGCAUACUGGCGAACUCGAGGGAGGCAGAGGAAAGUGGAAUUCCCGGUGUAGUGGUGAUAUGCGUAGAUAUGACAUAGAACAUCGAUUGCGAAGGCAGCUCGCUACGCUAUUAUUGACACUGAGGCACGAAAGCGUGGGGAUCAAACAGG